UAAUACAUGAACAUGUUAUUGAUGUUAUGUUUUGCUGCUUGUGAAUGCUUGAAAAAUGUGUAAAAUGGUGCUUGUUAUUACAUUUUCAUUGCCUUUUGGAUUCUGUGUCCUGUUCAUCACUGUUAAAUUUGUCGCAAUUGAAGCUCAGAUUAUGUGCUAAUUAGAGGUGAGUUUGUGUGUGAUUCCAGUGGAAAGGGGAGAUAAUAGUUACUUAUUAGUCAUUGUUCACCAUGGAGGGUCAUUUUAUUUGAAGAUUUGAUUUUUGCUUAGUGUGCAUGCUUGUGAAUUUUACUGGAGUCUGUUUGAGGAAUGACUCAGAAUCUAGUUGGGAGAACCGCAAUCAUUGGUGAAGGAAAGAGCCAGAGCUGCAGGUCAUCCUGUUCCGAACUAGUUAGGAUGCAAGCAGACAUGCCCUUCUGCAGACCUCGCCAAGUUGAUACAAGACCUCAUUUUCGUUUAACUGUGUAGCCGUUCUCGAAAAAAACCAGCUUAGAAAUGUGGAUUUAUAUCCUUUAUAGCUUAUCCAUAAGAUGUCUUUUCUACCAGGAUGAAAAUCUGAACGACUAAUACUGGCUUCCUUAUAUCUGGGUUCCAACACAUGAAUUUUCAGCAUUACAAGUCGUUAUUGAGGUGGGUUUUCUAUGAAUAUA